rnacentral:lncRNA from 1 species
UACGUGUUAUCAUUCGGAUGAUUCGUAGAGUCAUAUAUUAUACUUUUUAUUAAACUUUUUUUGGUCAACGAUUGCUUUCAUUAAGCAUAAGAGGGCAUGGCCCAAUUACAAGCAAAAUCGAACUUGUUCCUAUUACAAAAGAGUGAUACUCAAACGAGGCCCAACCCUAUUUUACAAGCCCAAAUAUUGAUGAUACAUUAUCUGCAUGUAAGGCACGUGUUGGCUAACGUGGCCUUUGAAUUCUCUGGAAACGCGUAGAGUGUACCUGAUGCCUCCGCCGGCUGCAUGUCGGACCUACAAUCACCGGACUCUCCCUCCGCCUAGCUCGAUUUGCUUGCUUGCUCCUCCUUCCCUUUAUCACCGCUGAUCCAAAGAAGCUCUUGAUCAAGUCACCGAAAUUGAAGUCUUGUGAGAAGUUAUGAUGGAGACAGUUGCAGAGCCUUGUUGGAACGUCUUCGGAAGAAAACUCCGACUUAUCUGAUUCUGCAGUAGCUCGCACCACUUCAUCAAUAACCUCUGUUAUUCAUCAUUAAGGAGACUUCACUUACAACUAUAAGCGAAGAUUGAUUCCUGAUUAGAUAAAAAAACAGAGCAUAUCUAGUGAAAAAAAUCUUAAACUUCGAAGAUCAAACGGAAUUUUAAUUCAGUUUAGGGAAGAGAAACAAUAUUAAAAUCUGAUCAGAAAAAUCAGAGCUUUAUUAAUUCAAACCAAAACUAAUGACUAAGGUUGAUACGACAUGAAGAACAACAUCAGAUUGGUUUGAAACACCACAAAAACUCGCCGAGCGAAAACUUCAAAAAUUGCCAAAGCGAACAUGAAAAUCCGAUAUACGAAAAAGAAAAUCGAUCUCAGCGAUCGAACUAUUAUACAAACAAAAAAUCAUAUUUCUUUCUCCCUCUGAUUGAUUUAUUUCCUUCUGAAAGAUAGAGUUUGAUAAGAAGGAAGAAGAAAUCAAGAGAGUUUCCUCUCUCUAAAAGGGAGGAGAGAGUCCUAAACAAAUAUUAUAGAAUUAUCU